GAGAAAGAUUGCAAGAACUGCUAACUCAUGCUACCAUAACUAAAAUUAUGGCUUUCUUA
rnacentral:tRNA from 1 species